GCAUCAUAGCUCAGUUGGAAAAGCAUGAAACUCUUAAUCUCAAGGUUGUGAGUUUGAGCCCCAUGUUGGGCA